rnacentral:rRNA from 1 species
CCUACGGGGGACAGCAGUGAGGAAUAUUGGUCAAUGGACGAGAGUCUGAACCAGCCAAGUAGCGUGAAGGAUGACUGCCCUAUGGGUUGUAAACUUCUUUUAUAUGGGAAUAAAACAGGGUAUGCAUACCCUCUUGUAUGUACCAUAUGAAUAAGGAUCGGCUAACUCCGUGCCAGCAGCCGCGGUAAUACGGAGGAUCCGAGCGUUAUCCGGAUUUAUUGGGUUUAAAGGGAGCGUAGGUGGAUUGUUAAGUCAGUUGUGAAAGUUUGCGGCUCAACCGUAAAAUUGCAGUUGAAACUGGCAGUCGUGAGUACAGUAGAGGUGGGCGGAAUUCGUGGUGUAGCGGUGAAAUGCUUAGAUAUCACGAAGAACUCCGAUUGCGAAGGCAGCUCACUGGACUGCAACUGACACUGAUGCUCGAAAGUGUGGGUAUCAAACAGGAUUAGAUACCCCGGUAGUC